GACGAACGCUGGCGGCGUGCUUAACACAUGCAAGUCGUACGGUAAGGCCCUUUCGGGGGUACACGAGUGGCGAACGGGUGAGUAACACGUGAGUAACCUGCCCACAACUUUGGGAUAACGCUAGGAAACUGGUGCUAAUACUGGAUAUGUGCUCCUGCUGCAUGGUGGGGGUUGGAAAGCUCCGGCGGUUGUGGAUGGACUCGCGGCCUAUCAGCUUGUUGGUGGGGUAGUGGCCUACCAAGGCGGCGACGGGUAGCCGGCCUGAGAGGGUGACCGGCCACAUUGGGACUGAGAGACGGCCCAGACUCCUACGGGAGGCAGCAGUGGGGAAUAUUGCACAAUGGGCGCAAGCCUGAUGCAGCAACGCCGCGGGCGGGAUGACGGCCUUCGGGUUGUAAACCGCUUUCAGCAGGGACGAAGCUUUUUGUGACGGUACCUGCAGAAGAAGCACCGGCUAACUACGUG
rnacentral:rRNA from 1 species